AUAGUAACUAGGAAGAUUGGUCCGUGGCUACUGCUUCCAUGUCUUCCAUCUUCCACAGUUGCUUCCUGUACGCUUUUCUCCUUUAUCCAUGCCUUCUCUUCUCUUGGAAACGGCGCUCAUGCUUUUGAAGGAAGAAAAAUUGCAGAAAGCAACAAUCUUCAUACCAUUCAAGUAAGCGAUUUGCUUCCAUCAACUGCUUGCAAACAUUCUACCAAAGUUGCAGAAAACAAGGCAGCCUUCAAGGUAGUUCAUAGGCACGGGCCAUGUUCCCAACUGAUUCAAGACAAUGCAAAUGCUCCCAAUCUCGAGAAUAUCCUUGUUGAAGAUCAAUCCCGAGUGGAUUCAAUCCACUCAAAGUUUUCCAGGACCUCCGGAGACAGCAGCUAUGUGAAGCAGACAGAUGCUACUAGACUACCGGCCAAUAGGGGUGUCUCCCUUGGCACAGGCAAUUAUAUUGUCACCGUGGGACUUGGCACUCCUAGAAAGGAUCUCCCGCUCAUCUUCGACACUGGAAGUGACCUUACUUGGGCACGGUGCAUGCCUGGCGUCGAUGCCUUCGACCCAACUAGGUCCUCUUCCUAUCACAACAUUUCUUGCAAAUCGGAAAUUUGCUCUUAUGUCACUUCCGCUACAGGUUACCGUCCUGGUUGUGCUUCCACAACAUGUGAGUACGGCGUCCGAUACGGUGACGGAUCAUUCACCUACGGAUUCGUGGGCAAUGAAAGGCUAAGCAUAGGAUCCGCAGACGUAUUUGACAAUAUCACCUUCGGUUGCAGCCAAAGAAGUGAAGGAUUGUUCGGAAAAGUCGGCGGCUUGAUGGGUCUUGGCCGAGCUAAGUUGUCCAUCAUCUCACAAACCGAUUCAAAAUACAAGAAGCUUUUUUCCUACUGUCUCCCAGUCUCUGGCAAAGCCGGCUUUCUCAGUUUCGGCGCCUCACAAUCAAAAUCCGCUAAAUUUAUCCCGCUAUCUUCUAAUUCCGACUUUUAUAGCCUCGACCUCGCUGGAAUUGUUGUUGGCAACCGGAGGCUUUCAAUACCCGCAUCGGUGUUUUCUAAAGCAGGUACAAUCAUUGACUCGGGCACUGUAAUCACGCGGCUGCAGCCAAAAGCUUACUCUGCUCUCCGUUCAGCAUUCACAGAAGCAAUGUCAAAGUAUCCGAAAGCUGAGCCACUAUCAAUACUGGACACUUGCUAUGAUUUUAGCAAAUAUAAAACGAUUGAGGUGCCGAAGAUUGCGUUGUCUUUUAAUGUAGGUGAUGUGGAAAUUGAUCAAUCGGGAAUCUUCUUUGCUAAUGGGAUUUCGCAAGUGUGUUUGGCGUUCGCUGGGAAUACAGACGCGAGGGAUAUAGCGAUUUUUGGGAAUAUGCAACAACAGAAUUAUGAGGUGGUUUACGAUGUGAAUGGAGGGAAGAUCGGGUUUGCUCCUGGGGCUUGUAGUUGAUUUAAUUCCUCCAAGUCAACUCCUAUUAUGCUAAAUGCUAAUUAUUUAAGCUUAAUCACUAGUAAAUAAAGCCAAUUAUGUAUGCAGCGCAGACCAAAACAAUGGUCAAUCAAUUGCUUAAUAGCUUUAGUAAAGAAAUUAAUUAUUUUACCUUGGUAAAA
rnacentral:misc_RNA from 1 species